AUAUUUGUUAUUGGAAUAAAGGUAUUUAGACCAGUAUUCAUUGUAAUAACAGCUCUUCACAGAUACAUUUCCUUAAUCUCAACAGAUAUGUCUGCAAACAAUAAAAAGAAGCAGAAGAAUUCUGCAGCCUCAGACAUGUCUACAAGGAAGAAACUGAGGGGGAAAAAAAUCACCCAAAGAAUGUUACCAUGGGAUCCUAGAAGGGGAACCUUACUACCCAGUGAAGAGGGUGAUCCACUGCAAAAUGCAGAAGGGGAUCCAAAUGAAGUUGGUGGAAUGGGAGCCCUGUUCACUCUGUGGGAAAACUUGGCCGCCACAGUGGGUGACGGAGGAGAACACCACAAAUUAAGGAAAUGUUCAAUCCCAUUGUUUUGUUCCAUAAGCUAUGUGUAUGUUGUUUACAGUAUAUUAAAAAAAUUCAAA